rnacentral:rRNA from 1 species
UGCAAGUCGAACGAGAAUGUAGACUUCGGUCUACUAGUAAAGUGGCGGACGGGUGCGUAACACGUGGGUAAUCUACCUUCCGGCGGGGGACAACAGAUCCGAAAGGAUUGCUAAUACCGCGUACGUCAGCGGCGCCUACGGGCGCUGUUGGGAAAGAUGGCCUCUCCUUGGAAGCUAUCACCGGAAGAUGAGCCCGCGUCCCAUCAGCUAGUUGGUGAGGUAAUGGCUCACCAAGGCAAAGACGGGUAGCUGGUCUGAGAGGAUGAUCAGCCACACUGGGACUGCGACACGGCCCAGACUCCUACGGGAGGCAGCAGUGGGGAAUAUUGGGCAAUGGGCGAAAGCCUGACCCAGCCACGCCGCGUGAGUGAUGAAGGCCUUCGGGUCGUAAAGCUCUGUGGGGAGGGACGAACAAAUCUGGGGCUAAUCACCCGGAUCCUGACGGUACCUCCUUAGCAAGCACCGGCUAACCCUGUGCCAGCAGCCGCGGUAAUACAGGGGGUGCAAACGUUGCUCGGAAUCAUUGGGCGUAAAGCGCACGUAGGCGGUCUGUUAUGUCGGAUGUGAAAGCCCUUGGCUUAACUGAGGAAGUGCAUCCGAAACUGGCAGGCUAGAGUACUAAAGAGGGUCGCGGAAUUCCCGGUGUAGAGGUGAAAUUCGUAGAUAUCGGGAGGAACACCGGUGGCGAAGGCGGCGACCUGGGUAGAUACUGACGCUGAGGUGCGAAGCGUGGGGAGCAAACAGGAUUAGAUACCCUGGUAGUCCACGCCGUAAACGAUGAGUGCUAGAUG